rnacentral:rRNA from 1 species
GACGAACGCUGGCGGCGUGCUUAACACAUGCAAGUCGAACGAAGAGCGAUGGAAGCUUGCUUCUAUCAAUCUUAGUGGCGAACGUGUGAGUAACGCGUAAUCAACCUGCCCUUCAGAGGGGGACAACAGUUGGAAACGACUGCUAAUACCGCAUACUAUCUAAUCUCGGCAUCGAGGAUAGAUGAAAGGUGGCCUCUACAUGUAAGCUCUCACUGAAGGAGGGGAUUUCGUCUGAUUAGCUAGUUGGUGGGGGAAAGGCCCACCAAGGCGAUGAUCAGUAGCAGGUAUGAGAGGAUGAACGGCCAAAUUGGGACUGAGACACGGCCCAGACUCCUACGGGAGGCAGCAGUGGGGAAUCUUCCGCAAUGGACGAAAGUCUGACGGAGAAAAGCCGGGUGAGUGAUGACGGCCUUCGGGUUGUAAAGCUCUGUUAAUCGGGAAGAAAGGCAUUCUUGCGAAUAGGGAGAAGGAUUGACGGUACCGGAAUAGAAAGCCACGGCUAACUACGUG